rnacentral:rRNA from 2 species
AGUGGAAGCGUCUGGAAAGGUGCGCGAUACAGGGUGACAGCCCCGUACACAAAAGCGCAUGUGCUGUGAGCUCGAUGAGUAGGGCGGGACACGUGGUAUCCUGUCUGAAUAUGGGGGGACCAUCCUCCAAGGCUAAAUACUCCUGACUGACCGAUAGUGAACCAGUACCGUGAGGGAAAGGCGAAAAGAACCCCGGCGAGGGGAGUGAAAAAGAACCUGAAACCGUGUACGUACAAGCAGUGGGAGCACAGGUUUACCUGUGUGACUGCGUACCUUUUG